CGUCAGUAGUUCAAUGGCAGAACGGCCGGCUUCUACCCGUCAGAUGCGGGUCCGACCCCGCUCCACUGAGGA
rnacentral:tRNA from 1 species